CCUACGGGAGGCAGCAGUGGGGGAUAUUGCACAAUGGGGGGAACCCUGAUGCAGCGACGCCGCGUGGGUGAAGAAGCGCCUCGGCGCGUAAAGCCCCGUCAGUAGGGAAGAAAAUGACGGUACCUGAAGACGAAGCCCCGGCUAAUUACGUGCCAGCAGCCGCGGUAACACGUAGGGGGCAAGCGUUAUCCGGAUUUACUGGGUGUAAAGGGGGCGCAGAUGGCGAUGCAGGCCAGGAGUGAAAGCUCGGGGCCCAACCCCGGGACUGCUCUUGGAACUGGGUGGCUGGAGUGCAGGAGGGGCAGGCGGAAUUCGUGGUGUAGCGGUGAAAUGCGUAGAUAUCAGGAGGAACACCGGUGGCGAAGGCGGCCUGCUGGACUGCAACUGACGUUGAGGCCCGAAAGCGUGGGGAGCAAACAGGAUUAGAUACCCUAGUAGUC
rnacentral:rRNA from 1 species